rnacentral:rRNA from 1 species
GUGCCAGCCGCCGCGGUAAGACAGAGGCCUCGAGCGUUAGGCGGAAUCACUGGGCUUAAAGCGUGUGUAGGCGGAUGCCUAAGUACCUUGUGAAAUCCCACGGCUCACCCGUGGAACCGCUGGGUAUACUGGGCAUCUUGGGCCAUUCAGGGGCAACUGGAACAAGCGGUGGAGCGGUGAAAUGCGUAGAUAUCGCUUGGAACGCCGACGGUGAAAACAGGUUGCUGGGAAUGUGCCGACGCUGAGACACGAAAGCCAGGGGAGCAAACGGGAUUAGAUACCCCGGUAGUCCUGGCCCUAAACGAUGUCCACUAGAUUGCGGCGGGUUUGACCCCGUCGCGGUCGAAGCAAAAGUGUUAAGUGGACCGCCUGGGAAGUACGGUCGCAAGGCUAAAACUCAAAUGAAUUGACGG